rnacentral:rRNA from 1 species
UACGUAGGGACCGAGCGUUGUCCGGAAUCAUUGGGCGUAAAGAGCGUGUAGGCGGCCACUUAAGUCCUGCGUGAAAUCUUGCGGCUCAACCGCAAGCGGUCGUGGGAAACUGGGUGGCUAGAGUGCGGGAGAGGAGAGUGGAAUUCCUGGUGUAGCGGUGGAAUGCGCAGAUAUCAGGAAGAACACCCGUGGCGAAGGCGGCUCUCUGGGCCGUAAACUGACGCUGAGGAGCGAAAGCAUGGGGAGCGAACAGG